AGCCACAUCUUUUGUAGGGUCCAUACGAAGUAGCAGAAUUGUAGGAUUCGUAGUCAGCAAUCUCUGCGUUCUUUGGAGGGUGCCCUCUCCUCCCAGAGAAGAGACCUUCCCUUUUUCAACUUGGCCAAUCACAAUAUAUCGUUUGGCUUUCUUGCAGCCUCCGACAAGCAGCGAGGUGUGGACAUGUAUCGUCUCUCUUCAAACAGACACGUGGUAUUAACAAAAGUGAAUGCAUUGGAUUGCAGCCA
rnacentral:misc_RNA from 1 species